rnacentral:rRNA from 1 species
GAAGAGAUAAGUGCUGAAAGCAUCUAAGCACGAAACUUGCCCCGAGAUGAGUUCUCCCUGACUCCUUGAGAGUCCUGAAGGAACGUUGAAGACGACGACGUUGAUAGGCCGGGUGUGUAAGCGCAGCGAUGCGUUGAGCUAACCGGUACUAAUGAACCGUGAGGCUUAACCUU